UUAUUGCUUGCUGAAUAUUAUUAAUCCGUUUGGGCACAAGGUCCUGCACCAUCCGGAGAAUUCCAGGAAGUUGAAGGUGAAAGUGAAGAAAGAAGAAGAUCCAGACUGGAACGCAAUCAGAGAACGCAAGAAAGAGCGGCCAAAGCACUUGCUGAGAAAAAUCAGCGUGAUCUUCAGACUCUAAAGGAACAGGAAGAGAGACAUAGGAUUGCUGAAACACUGGAUAUUGAGAUAAAGCGCCGGGCUGCUGGAAAAGAGGGGAACUUGCGUGCUCUGCUAUCCACUUUGCAAUAUGUGCUCUGGCCUGAAUGUGGUUGGGAACCUGUUUCUAUGACGGAUUUGAUUGCUGCUGCUUCAGUUAAAAAAGGUCUAUAGGAAGGCAACUUUGUGUAUUCAUCCUGACAAGGUGCAGCAAAAAGGUGCCAAUCUUCAGCAGAAAUAUAUUGCUGAGAAGGUUAUUGACCUCCUUAAGGAAGCUUGGAACAAAUUUAAUUCAGAGGAGCUCUUUUGAAUUUUUGAGACAACCUUUCAGCUUCAAGCUAUUUUAAGCAAGCGUACCAUUUCUUUCCUUGGCGGAUACUCCUGGAGGACAAUGAAUGUCUGAGGAAUAUAAUCUUGCCAAUAUUGCACCCAUUUUGAAAUACAGUAUAUUUAAGGAAAUUUAUCCUCAGAAGCUGCCGAAACCGUUCUCCUCAUAGCCAAUGAUUUACUCAGGGUUACCAAACAAGUACAUUCACUCAGGGACUAUAAGGAUCUUGGUGAUCCUUAUGUUGUAGGUUACGGAAUGGAAGAUCCUGUGGUCGCGCCUGCAAUGAAUUCCCUCCGCAUUGUCUGAGUGAGGAGGCUCAAACGCAUUGCCUUUUGGAAUCCCCCACCCAGCAAAUAUAAUAGCAUUGCGUAUACAUCUCAUGGAAUUGGAACAUUAACAUCCAUACCAGAUUGCUGGUAUACUUGUGAGAGAUUUUUAGCAUGGGUAAAUUGUCGAUAUUCCCCUUUGAGGUUUUUA